UUACGGCCACAUCACGUUGAAACACCGGUUCUCGUAAGUUCACCGAAGUUAAGCAACGUCGAGCCUGGUCAGUACCUAGAUAGGUGACCGGUUGGAAAUACCGGUGUUGUAC
rnacentral:rRNA from 1 species